AGGACGAACGCUGGCGGCGUGCCUAACACAUGCAAGUCGAACGAGGUCCAUCCGGUGGCAACACCGGUGAAGACCUAGUGGCGAACGGGUGAGUAACACGUGAGCAACCUGCCCCGAAGACCGGGAUAACACCGGGAAACCGAUGCUAAUACCGGAUACCCCCACCAGAUCGCAUGGUCAGGUGAGGAAAUGGACUCCGCUUCGGGAGGGGCUCGCGGCCUAUCAGCUAGUUGGUGGGGUAACGGCCUACCAAGGCGCCGACGGGUAGCUGGUCUGAGAGGACGAUCAGCCACACUGGGACUGAGACACGGCCCAGACUCCUACGGGAGGCAGC
rnacentral:rRNA from 1 species